AGAAACGGAACCAGCGGGAACCUUGACCUGAGACUUGCAGCCUCCAGAACUGGGAGAAAAUAGAUUUCUGUUGUUUCAAGCCCCCGAGCCUGUGGUAUUUUGUCCCAGCAGCCUGAGCAGGCUGAAAUGGUAGGUUGGGAUGCUUGGUAAAGAAAAAAAGGAAAUUCUUGUUAAGGGUGUGAAGAGGCAUUAUUCAAGGGCCCACUCCAGUGAGGUUUUGCAGAAAAGGAGAGAGAUGGGGCUCAAAUCCGAGUACAGGGAUGGGUGGGAGCUGACAGCCCCGGAGCAGGGGUGGGGCCUGUGGACAGAAAUUCCUAAGUGGAAACGUCAGGAGUCAGGGUGGGUUUCCCCAAGCAGGCUCAGCAGGAUUUGCUCAAACGGAGCCAGCCCAGGACAGAGCCCAAGGUCCCAAGUUCUUGUCCCACAUCCAGAAGAAUAAGGUUAUGCAGACAACCAGAGAGUGAGCAGGGCAGAAAAAAACUUCUAUUGCAUGAUGGAACAGCUCCCAGCGUUGAGGGGACCUGAGAGUGGGCAGCCACUACCUGAAGCAUCAUUAUAAACUGCUGAUCUACUGUUUCUUUGUCAAACGGGAGGAGAUAACAUGAGGGUCAUGAGAAAUGUUUGCAGACGGAGUGAAUGCCUUGAAAGUGCUGCGACCAGGUGCUGACACCCGGAGGUCUGGCUGCUCAAAGUGUUAGCUGACACGGAAGACACACGGACUUUCCCUCCAUUCCCCAAAACUCCCCUUCCCUGACUCGUCAGCUGCAUAAAAACCCUCUCCUUAUCUCUUUGUCAAGGGGAUUUGAGAAAUCUUGCUGUCUUGUCUUCUUGCUUUGGCCAAAUGGAAUAAACCUUUCUCUGUCUCCAGACACCUAUGUCGCAGUGUUCGGCCUCAGCUAUACGGCAGGUACAUGAACCUGGUAUUUGGGCUUCUACAACAAUUGUACUUAUAGCACAAAUAAAGUACAAAGUGUUAGGGAAGACCAAAGACCAUAGGUAGAAAACUUGGAUACAACUUCCAAAUAAACACUCUUCAAAACAUUUAAUGAGCAGCUUCUGGAAACGUAACUUUUUC
rnacentral:lncRNA from 1 species